GAGCCUGUAGCUCAGGGGACAGAGCGUGGGGCUCCGGACCCUAAGGUCGGGGGUUCAAAUCCCCCCAGGCUCA
rnacentral:tRNA from 1 species